rnacentral:tRNA from 1 species
UGGGCGGUAGCUCAGUGGUCGAGCUCCCGCCUCUUAUGCGGGAAGAGGUGGGUUCGAUUUCCGGCUGCUUCC